AUUUAAAUAGUUUAAAAAAAAUAAUAGUUUGUGGAACUAUAGAUAUAUAAAUAAUAUUUUAAAUA
rnacentral:tRNA from 1 species